GACCCAGCACCCGUCUUCUCUUUUUCCUAACCUCUCUUCUCUCUCAACAAUAGCGGUGCUGAUCCUGGAAGAGAAUCUCCGGUGCAACGAUGUUACCAUCGGAAGAGAACCGUCCGGAGUAGCGACAUCCAGUGCUGCGCUCAAUGGUGAUAACGAUGUCGCAAGCAAGCUAUGCCCUGCCGUUUGUCUUACACACCAAUAAUCGUUAGUGGUUGUGGUAGUGUGGUGUGGUGAGUUCAGAUUUGGUUGGUGGUGGUGAGUGUGUGGAGACGGUGGUGUGGUGGUGGCACUAUCGUUGUGCAGUGGUGUUUGACUUGUUUGUGGAGGUGCAAAUGUGGUGUGCGGUGGGUUGGUGAGUUCAGAUCUGGUUGGUGGUGGUAAUGUUGGUGGGCGUUGUGUUGUGUUGUUAUUGUUGGUGGUGGCGGUGGCAGUGGUGGUAACGACGGAGGAUGGGAUGAGUAUUUUGUGACCAACUUUUGGUCGAUUUGUGGCAAGUAUUUGUGAUGGAUUGGAGUCGAUUGUUUGGGUAUGUGUGACCAAUUAUUCGAUUCUUUGUGACUAACUAUUAAAAUAUGACCUUAAAAC
rnacentral:lncRNA from 1 species